UACGUAGGGGGCAAGCGUUGUCCGGAAUCAUUGGGCGUAAAGCGCGUGUAGGCGGCCAGAAAAGUCCGCUGUGAAAACUCGAGGCUCAACUUCGAGCUGUCGGUGGAAACUUUCUGGCUAGAGUCCGGAAGAGGAGAAUGGAAUUCCUGGUGUAGCGGUGAAAUGCGCAGAUAUCAGGAAGAACACCCGUGGCGAAGGCGGCUUCCUGGACCGACACUGACGCUGAGGCGCGAAAGCUAGGGGAGCAAACGGG
rnacentral:rRNA from 1 species